UUAGAUAUUAUCAAUUGCAUUGCACAAUGCAAGUAGGACAUCUUUGAUAAGAUUUCACGUAACUGCCUACAAACUUUGCAUAUAAAUACGACACGAGCUAGAACCAAGUCAAAAUAAAUCUUCAGGAGCGAUUAAAAUAAACUCAUUACAAACAUGAAGGUUUUAGCCAUAGCUCUCAUUGCCGCCCUCGUGUGCAUCACACAGGCUUCACCAAUCGGAGAGGAGGUAGAGGUUCCAGAACUGGCAGUAGAUGCCAUGCAACCAAUGGAGUUGUUAAACGGUGCUCGUCAACGGAUCUGCACGCCCGUGAUGUGUCAGAACUUAUGCAGGAGCCUGGGAUGGAAAUACGGAAGCUGCAACGCGCAACGUUUCUGCGUCUGCAGACGCAGAACUUAGUCCUAAAACUACUUUCAUUUUGUAUUAUAAGCUAUUGUAUUAUUUUUAAGCUAUAUAUAAAAAAUAAGGCCUA